rnacentral:rRNA from 1 species
UACGAAGGGGGCUAGCGUUGCUCGGAAUCACUGGGCGUAAAGCGCACGUAGGCGGCUUUCUAAGUCAGGGGUGAAAUCCUGGAGCUCAACUCCAGAACUGCCUUUGAUACUGGAGAGCUUGAGUCCGGGAGAGGUGAGUGGAACUCCGAGUGUAGAGGUGAAAUUCGUAGAUAUUGGGAAGAACACCGGUGGCGAAGGCGGCUCACUGGCUCAUUACUGACGCUCAGGCGCGAUAGCGUGGGGAUCAAACAGG